ACUGCCCAAGCCGUCAUCAUUGCAGAACACAGACAUAGAAGAGGAAGAAAGGAUCUCUACCGCUGCCAGGGGUCGUUGGUGAGUCCUGUGCCGCCAUCAGGGUCAUUGUUCUACCACCAUUGAAGCUCGUUGGAGAAGCAGCUAUUGUCAGAAGAAGCUACUGCUGCUUUUGCUCUAUACUGUUCUGUUCUGCCCCUGCUUCUGGUUUCGCAAUUGUCAGAGUCUCUGCCGCCAUGGGUAUUGCCGUUGGGGUUGUUGGGAACCAACGAUGGAGCUGCCCGAAAACCUUAUUGUUGCUGCUUUAUUAUUUCAUUGAUUACUAAUGUCGCUGUUACUGGAGUAUCAUUGGAAUCGACAUCAC